UUAACUCACAGUACCACCCGUGUCCCAUUUGCAUAUAGUAGUUUCUUACAAUCCCUACAACUGUGUAAGGUAGUUCAGCAUUGUUAUCCACAUAUUGAGGAUGAAGGAGAGUUUCUUGCCUAAGGCUAGUUGGGAUCAUAGCUGUCAACGUUUCCCUUUUUUAAAAGGAAAAUUCCCUUAUUCCGAAUAGGAUUCCUCCCAAGAAAAGGGAAAAGUUGACAGCUAUGGUUGGGAUAUUGGGUGGGAUUUCAGUCUCUACCAGUGUAAUUCUAUACAAGUCUGCUCAGAAGACCCAAAGUAAUAGAUUUUUUCCACUCCCCAUCACACAAAAUUUGAGGAUAAUCUUCAUGGAUCUUCUCUCUAAAGCCUGGUAAAAAUGUAGGUGAAAAGUAUACAGGAUGCAGAAAAAAAUAUUAGCAAUAUUCAUUGUGUGAGGAUUAAAAUAUUGUUAGCACUUUUCGUCGUAAAAGAAGAAUUAUGCUAUCACUCUGAUUGUCAUAUCAAUGUCAGCUCCAAGUGGAAAUGCCGCUUUGGGUACAGGCUGUGUGCAAUUGUUACAAUUAAAGCCCUGCUAUUUUAAAUAUAAAGAAUGGGUAUAAUCAAAUGAUCAGUUUAAAGCCUGCCAGCAGCUAGCCGGGGUACCUGCUAUAUGAUAUUAAAUUAAUUUGAAUCAAAGCUUUUGCAGAGCCAGAAACUGUUGGAUCUUCAGUUUGACAUGAUCUAAUGUGUGAAUGCCAAAAGCUUGACUUGGUGUGCUGUUAGAGCAGGAAUUAAUUGAUGCUGAUACAGAUUAUAUGGGCGCACACAAAAAGAGGAGGAAUGGACAAUCUUUCUCAAUAAUAGAUUGAAGUUGUGCAGGUGUAUAAUUGUAUCUGGCAUCCUGGCUUAGUGAUGAGGAUUGUUCUUGGUUCAUGCUUGCUUGCAGCCAUUUUAGAUUAAGUGCAGUUAUGGAGUGUACGUCAGAUGGAAAUGUUAACAUAAGGUCUAAUUCUGCUGCCUUUUCUCCAAUUCACUUCAAUUGGUUCGGUCAGCUAAAGCAAGAUAAAUGGGCAAAAAGGUAAUAAGAAGUGAGUAAGCAUGGAGCAGGGUUGUAAAUACUGAGGACUCCUUCACACAUUAUGUUUUUCUACGCUUAAAUAUAGGAAUCGUGUUAGGAAAAUGAUAUGCAAAAUUUUUUACCGAGGAGCAUGGAAAAAUGUACAUGUUUAUUUCAAUGUCAUUUGAAAUGUAUCAUUCACUAACUGAGCAGAUGUUUCACCAAACAGCUUGGGGUGAAGACAGAGGCAAAGUUGGUGUUGAGCAGUUCCAAAUUCUCUCUGUCACCCAAUAAUAUUUCUACAGCUUCUCCACAUAGAGGACUUACUACUUGUUUGUACUUCGUUUUGCUUUGAACCUAGCCAAAUAAACUUUUUGACAAUUAUUUUUAACCUCUCUUGCAAACCUGAGCUCAUUCUGAGCUUUGGCCCACCUGGCCUUCUGCCUGCAACUAUUGACUACUUGUGUAUACUUUUCUUUCCCCUUUGUUGUAUUUCUUAUAUUGGUCUCUUUAGCUGUCUCCUACUUUUACUUCUUGUUGGAAUUGUCUGCAUUUGUGCCUUCAACAUAUCACCUUUAAGCAGUGCUUUUUUCUAGGAAACUAAGUGCCUGUACUCACCAAGAAGUUGUUGCAGUAAGUGUUACACUUUUUAACAACAACAAAAAGAGGUGCCGGUACUUUGUACCCUUGAGUACCCCCUGGGGAAAAAGCACUGCCUUUAAGAAACUCCCAUCCAUCUUGGAUUCCCUUCCCCUUUCUGACUGUCGGAUCUCACCCAGUUGUUCUUGAAGCUAUUUGAAAUCAGCCUUAUUAAAGUCCAGCGUGCGUGUCCAACUACACUUAGCUUUCCCUUUUCUCUGUAUCGUGAAAAGCAAGAGAACAUGAUCAAUUUCUCCCAAAGUACUUCCGGUACUUCCACUUUGUAAAUCGAUUCCUCAUGGUUGAUGAAGACCAGGUCCAAGAUAGAUGAUCCCCUUGUUCCACCUUCUUGGAAAUGAAAUUCUGUAUUAGGCAAUGGAGGAAUUUGUUGGACCUAACAUUAUUGACAGAGCUUGAGUUCCAAGAAAUAUUGGGUAGUAAGUCUCCCACGAUUACUAUGGCUCUCCUUUUUGAAUUUUUCAUGAUCUGUUGUAGAAAGGCAUAACAUCCAAGUAUUCAAACUGACUUGGAGGUCUAUAGGAGUCACCCACAGUAAAGUCACUGUUGUUUCCCUUACCAUUUUUAACCAUACUUUACUCUGCCUUCAAUGCUCCAGGUCAUGGAUCUCUUCCCAAAUGGACACAUACUUUGCAUAUAAUGCUACUCCUCCUCCCUUCCUGUUUGGUCUAUUCCUUUGGAAUGGUUAACUCAACAGUAAGGCUGCAAUCCUAUACACACUUACAAACUCACCUGUUAAUUGGGUCUUAUUUGUUAGUUGCCAUGCAUAGGAUUGCACCGCAAGUUGCAUUUUGUUAAGCGGCACAUAGGAAAUUGUGUUUAGGAUUGCAGAGUAAAUGGGAGAUUUCUUUCAAAAGAACAUCUGUAACCAGCAGUAAUGAAGCAUUGUGUUACGUUUACUUGGGACUGUUAUCGAUCAGCUCCCUAAGCUGGUGCUACUCACAGAACUGGCUGCAGGGAGCCCAUUAACCUUGCUCUUCUAAGGCCCCCCUUGGUGCUGGUCUGAUUCUGAUUUUGGUUGAUAGUCCUAAUGGAGUUGGAUGUUCUCUUUCUAUAAAGGACUUUUCCAUGUACUAUCACGGCACAUUAAAGGAACUUGGUUUUUUGUUUACAUAACACUGGUGAUAUUAAGGUACGCAUAGGCAAGAUAAUAACAUUAAGGUUGUAAACCAUCCAUAUUUUAUUUACUGGUGACAAAGACGUACUGUAGGGUUGUGCAGCAAGAUUCAGCUUGAACCUCAAUUCAUUGUUGCUCUUGUUUAAAAAGUCUAUCUUAAUUCGAAGCACUUAGAGGGGCUGCCCUAUUUAUCACGGAAUCCGAGACCAAAUUCAUUUUAGAAAAAUGACGUGUCAUCCCCUGUCCUGUUACUAUGGGGAUAGUCAGUAACUUUCCCCACUUUUCUAAAGGAAGCUUACAAAAUAUUUUAAAUGCAAUAAAAUGCACAAUGAUACAAUAGUAUUUAUCGCUUAAUAUUUUAAAUCUCUGACUACAAUUGGCAUAUAUGAUUUCCUUCCAAUAAAUGUCUACUACAGUCAACACCUUGAAUCCCUAAUACCUCCAUUUUGGAAUGUUUCGGCUCCCAAACGCCGAAAACCCAGAAUUAAAUUCUCCGGUUUUCAAAUGUUUUUCGGAAGCUGAAUGUCUGAAGCGGCUUCCGCUUGAGUGUAGGAAGCUACUGCAACCAAUAGGAAGACACACCUCGGCAGGAAAGCAGCAGAAAUAUAGAUGUAUGGACUCCGGCCAAUCGAGAAGCAUGGGUACCCCCCCACAAAAAAUUAUAAUCCGGAAAAUAAUUGGAUUUUAUGAUGUGGAUUGAUAUAAUUUGGACUAGUUGGUAUGAUAUGUGUAAUUUGGUAACUUAAUAAAAAUCAUUU